CAGUCGCCACGGUAAUACGAAGGGUGCAAGCGUUAAUCGGAAUUACUGGGCGUAAAGCGUGCGUAGGCGGUUUGGCAAGUCUUGUGUGAAAUCUAUGGGCUCAACCCAUAGCCUGCACGAGAAACUACCGGGCUUGAGUGAUGGAGAGGUGAGUGGAAUUUCCGGUGUAGCGGUGAAAUGCGUAGAUAUCGGAAGGAACACCUGUGGCGAAAGCGGCUCACUGGACAUUAACUGACGCUGAUGCACGAAAGCUAGGGGAGCAAACAGGAUUAGAUACCCCCGUAGUCCCUGUCUCUUAUAA
rnacentral:rRNA from 1 species